rnacentral:misc_RNA from 1 species
CUGGUUGAUUGGCUUGUGGAGGUCAGGGUAGUUUCAUUAAUGAAAUUUAUUGCUAUAGUGAAAGGCUAUUUAAUUCUUGAUGGUGGUUCCUCAAUAUCCUAUUUGGGUCCAGUGGCUUGGGUAGGCAGAUAAACUGGUGCACUCCGCUUUCCCUAUACCUCUUACUUCCAUGUUAAAGUUGGGUUUGGGUUCCAUAUUUAUGCUAUGAGUCUAUGACUGUAAGAAACUUACCAGUUGAACCACAAGGCACCCACACCUUGCACACAUCCUGUCAGUGUCAACCAUUUAUCAGUUGCUUUUUUUCCUGAAUUUUUUUUAUUGCUUUCCCACAUGUUCACAGAUUUUCUUGAUUUACUUAGAUGUAGGAGCUCUUAUUAUAGUUUCAAAGUCUUCCCUUCUCAUUUCUUUCAUUUUCCCUAAGCUUUUAUGUUAAAAGAUUAUCCCAUCUUUUCAGCUUCUUCCAUCUGGACAUAGGGGCUUUAGAAAAGAAGAUAUCACCCAGUUUUAGUCCCUCAAAAUCAAGGCAUGACCUUUCAGUGUUUUUGCAUGCAGUAACCACCCACUCACAAAUCUCUAACCCAUGUGUUUAGACAGAGCCACAGUGGGGCCUUUGUUGUGUGUUUACUUUUUUGCAUGACUUGCCACAAAGUGUCGGUUAUUCUGAUUCUUGAAUUUGGGAAUAAGUAGAGACCUGCUAUUUUCCUCAGAAUUUGUCUAAUGAUAUUCUUCUCUCAGAUUUUGGCAGUUUAGUCAAAUACACUGGUAAACUUUAAGACAAGAGACACAAUUUUGGUGGUCUUCUGGAUUGUUCAUUAAACCAGGGUAUUGUUUUGAGUGCCAGUGCGUUGUCUUAGUUUUUUCUAACUCAUUUCAUGCAUAAGAUGAGGAUAAUCUCAAUAAUAGCCCUUUAGGAUUAUUGCACUAAAAGGUAUCAUGUAUAUGUGUUUAGAUCCUCUCAGUGCAAUGUCUGUCUCCUUCAAACUUUUGCUAAAGUGUACUUGUGGUCUCUGCUUCUUUAGACGUCUUAUAUAUUGGAGGUAUUCACCUUAUAUUUCAAUGGGAAACAACAACGUUUUCAUGAUAAGAUAUUGGCACUAUCAAAAUUUUAGCAAGUUACGGUUUGUGCAAUAUAUUCAAUUAAAUAUUUAGUUGUAUUUUACUUUAAGAUUUUAAGCCUGUUGUCUACAAUGACUCUUGGUUGACAUCCAACUGCUGUCUGUUCCCUGUUUUCUUUUCAGUUUUGAUUCACUUAGACUAUAUAAGUUGCUCUCUAAAAAGUCAUAAUACUGUCAGCAAUUGUAAUUUGUAAUUUGGAUCUUCAAUUGAUUAUGUUUUGUUGCAAAUAUUCAUGAAGAGUAUAACUUUUCUUUUAAAAAAAAACUUGUUUGCCUUCUUCGCAGUUAUACUGUUUAUGUUUAUGUGUUUUUAAUCUGUUUUUGAACUGUAAUUAUCACUCAUAAAGCAUUAUCAGGUCAGUUGCACUCUGGAUUUAAGUUUCUGUCUGAUCAUUCUGUCUCAUUGGAAUGUCAAAUUAACAUCCUUGAACUCACAGUUUUGACAAGAAAUCUGAAUUUCGAAAGAAAUAAUUGACAUGUCAAAUUUAAUCUUGAUUUUCAGCAUGUCAAAUUUAAUCUUGAUUUUCAGGUGUCUGAGGAAUAUAAGUUGGUCCCUGAUACACUUUACCUCACAGUCUAUCUCAUAGAUUCGUUCCUCUCUCAAAAUUACAUUGAAAGGCACAGGCUUCAACUACUUGGUAUUACCUGCAUGCUGAUUGCAUCCAAAUAUGAAGAAAUUUGUGCUCCACAUGUGGAAGAAUUUUGCUUCAUUACUGACAACACAUACACAAAGGGUGAGGUACGUCAUGGUUUGUUAGUUAACUAGAAUGCAUGCAUACUGAAAUAAAAGUUCUCCCCUUUUCAGUUUUACCUUUGUGGUCCCUUAAACAACUCGAUUACUCUUCAAUGCUUUUUUUCAUUGCAUCACUCUUUUUCUCGAUGUGAAUUGUUAUCUUUUCUAUAAUUAAGAAGUUAUUAUAUGCUAAUGUGGGGAUAUUGAACAUAACUCUUGGGAUCAUGCAGAUUACUUGAUACAUCAUUUAGACAAAACAUAAAUAGGCAAAAAGCAAAAACAAAUGGGAUAGCUGUUCCAACAAUGUCUUGAACUUGGGAUUCUUCAUUCUUUUGACUGUGGUUUCUGAAUUGCUGAUUUCCAUAUUUGUUGGUAAUUAGAUUUCUAUUUGUAAUACUCAAUUAUACCAUUAUUCAUUUAUAAAAUUCUAUUUGUGAUACUUGUCUAUACCAUAUAUGCAAUAGCUAUGCAUGGCAGGAACGAUUCUUGUAACUUUAUGGUUCCUGAAUUGCUGAUUUCAAUCGGCUCUUGAAAGUAAAUCUGUGCUACUAAGCCAUAUGAAGUAUUCACUAGCCCUGCAUACUGGGGUGUGUCUCAAUGUCGUUGCAUAACCCAUUAACAUGCAUUGCACGUGGAUAGAAGAUGAGAAAAUCUAAUGAUCUGAAGGUUCAAGGGGACCAGUCCCCUGUAGAAUUAGGAUAUUGCAUCCCUGAGGAUUGGGGCAUCAAUAUUAUUAAUACUUAUUUGAAUUUUGACAAUAUAAAUGAAAAAGAAAACAUUUGGAGGAUGAAAGACAUUCUUCGCAUAUUAGUUGUCAUAUUCACUUGUGUUCCUCCCUGUUGCAAAUUUCAAUAUUCGCGGUUGCAUUCCUGAUGAAAAUAAACUGCAGGUGUUAAAGAUGGAAAGUCUAGUGUUGAAAUAUUUUGGCUUUCAAAUAUUUGCUCCUACUGCAAAAACUUUUCUUAGGUAUCGGCUUAUCUAAUGUUUCACAACUAUAUUAUUAAAGCUCCAGAUGUCCUUCAAAUAUUUUAUAAUGCAAUGUCUUGUUAAAACUUUUGGUUUUCAGGAGAUUCCUACGUGCAGCACAGGCUUCUAUCGAGGUAGUGCAGUUGGUUUACUUUGUUGUAUCCAAGCUUUUUUCUAACAAGCAUUUUUAAUUUAGAAAAAAGAUUUUAUUUUCAUAAAUAAUUUCAAAUUUGCAGAGCCCUAGUUAUGAACUGGAGUACUUGGCCGAUUAUCUAGCAGAACUGACAUUGAUUGACUACAAUUUCUUGAAUUUCCUUCCCUCAGUCAUUGCUGCGUCAGCUGUAUUUCUCGCUAGAUGGACACUGGACCAGACAAUCCAUCCCUGGAAUCCAACUCUAGAACACUACACUUCCUACAAGGCAUCAGAUAUUAAAACCACAGUUCUUGCAUUACAAGACCUACAAUUGAACACCAAUGGGUGUCCUCUUAGUGCUAUAAGAAUGAAGUAUAGGCAACAAAAGUUCAAAACUGUGGCAACUUUGUCUUCUCCAAAGCUUCUUGAAACAUUAUUCUGAAGACAAGUUCAUUGGUUGUACGUUAUUGAAAGUGGUUCCCUCUGGACCAUCAAUUCCGUCUUGAUGUUGUACGUGAUAUCUAAUCAGAACCCUCUUUCCUCAUUUAUAUAAAAUUUCUGAUCUUUAUUCUUCCCCCCUCCCAUCUCAAACUUUGUUUAUAGUUUUUUGAGACUUCUGUUGGUUUUGGUACAUCUGACCUGUGGUUGUAAAGCUAUAUCUGAGAAUAGGGUUGUCAUGCCACUAAGCUAGAAUUCUAAUGUAAUCAAUAUUCUUAGCACGUCAGUCACCAGGAAAUUUUUCGGUAGAUUGUAAAGGUUCAGAAACAGAAUGUAACCUGUUGAAUGUAACUUUGGCAGCAUUGGCCCAGCAGAAUUAAUUGUGUUUUCAUCUUUGCAACUCUUUAUCAGGUUGUAGCUCACUUUUAUCUUUUCAUAAUGGUUUCUUGUCUAUUCUUG